GACAAAUUAGGGAUAGGAAAAAUGGAGCCUUAAUUAAGGGCGCGUCCAAUAGAGGAGGAGAAAGCGAGCGAGCGAGAGCGUGCGCACGGCGGCGAAGGUCGUAGAGGACGCAAGAGGCGGCAUAAACACUAAAGGCCAUUGCUAAUGGAAGAUCAACUUCAUGAUGCUCUGCAUUCUGAGCCCACAGUCAAAGCCACCCUGUGUCUUGGGUCAGAAUUAUUCUCUGUUAAUUCAGAAACAGGCAUUCUAUCUGAACAGUUGGCUACAAUGAAGGAGAAGAGUAUGUGCAUCCUAAAAGACUACAUCACCAAACACAAUGCCCCAAAUGAUGUUCCUGAUGAAGCUCUUGAGGGGUCUUCAGGAGAUGAAAGUGAAGAACUUGACAAUCCACCGAAGAAGUCCAAGAAGCAAAAAUAGCUGCCUUGCAAUCUUUGGAUGGGUAAAAGAUCCAAAAGAAACCACGAGUGUGAUGUGAAUGCAGUGCUGAUUAUAGAUAUAGCAAAGGCCUUGUAUUAUUGUUCAUACGUUUCCAGAGAUCUGGACAAUUAUGUAUUAGCAAAGUUAGAGUCUCUUUCUUGUGCUUUUUUUGAAAGGCAUGAUUUUUCAGUGUUGUCUUUGUAGGAUGUAAUAUGAGUAUAUCCAGGUUAAGAUUGAUCCUAGUCAUUAUCAUUAUUUUAAUAUGGCUGAUCUUUUUUGAUGUCAAUAUUGUAAAACUUUUCUUGGAAGGCAUGAUUUUUCGAU